GACGUAGAGUGCGAGCGUUGUCCGGAUUUAUUGGGCGUAAAGAGCUCGUAGGCGGCUCGUCGCGUCAGCUGUGAAAACCCGCGGCUUAACCGUGGGCUUGCAGCUGAUACGGGCGGGCUAGAGUUCGGUAGGGGAGACUGGAAUUCCCGGUGUAGCGGUGAAAUGCGUAGAGAUCGGGAAGAACAUCGGUGGCGAAAGCGCUCUACUGGACCGCAACUGACACUCAGGGACGAAAGCUAGGGGAGCGAAUGGG
rnacentral:rRNA from 1 species